rnacentral:rRNA from 1 species
AAUCAACGCUGGCGGCGUGCCUCAGACAUGCAAGUCGAACGUGAAAGUUCCUUCGGGGAUGAGUAAAGUGGCGCACGGGUGAGUAACACGUGGGUAAUUUGCCUUCGGUGGGAAGUACCAACCGGAAACGGUUGUUAAUACCGCAUGAUGCAGCGGCUCCGAUUGGAGACAGUUGUUAAAGCGGGGGAGCGGAGCAAUCCGUCCUCGCGCCUGAAGAGAAGCCCGCGGCGGAUUAGGGUAGUUGGGAGGUAAUGGCUCACCAAGCCUGCGAUCCGUAACCGACCUGAGAGGGUGGUCGGUCACACUGACACUGACAUACGGGUCAGACUCCUACGGGAGGCAGCAGUCGGGAAUUUUGGGCAAUGGGCGCAAGCCUGACCCAGCAACGCCGCGUGAAGGAUGAAGCAUUUCGGUGUGUAAACUUCGCAAGAACAGGAAGAAUAAGUGAAUGCAAAUACCGUUCAUGAUGACGGUACU